rnacentral:lncRNA from 7 species
AGCACGCAUGCGCGAGUUUCGAGACGGCAGUACGCAUGCGCAAGCCGCGAGACGGCGGUACGCAUGCACGGCAUCAUAGACAGCAGCACGCAUGCGCGAGCCAUGAAACGGCAGUACGCAUGCGCGACAUCAAGGACGGUGGCAGCAGAUACCGUGGCAACAACAACUCCGCCGCCUUUUAGCGGACUGCCUGGGACCGUGGGCGCGCAUCCCCUUCUCUCUUUCUUUUCUUGGCAGAGGAUGGUGGGGGGAAGAAGGGGAGACGACAAAGAAAAGCAAGGAAAACUUCGACAAACCCUCCAACCCCGUGCUAAAUGCUUUGGUAUACCUGUAAAUAAAUGAAUACAUAACC